ACUACCGAAGAGUUCUUUCAGCUCUGUCACAUUCUUCUGGGUCUUGGCUGUGGACUCACUGCCUUAGCAUUCUUCUUGGUCGUCCUUCCUCCUUCUCUUCUUCUGGGUCUGCUUUUAUUUUGUUUUUAUCAGCUGUUGAGGAAUAAUUGGAUGGGGGUUUGGGAUUUUGGCAUCGGGGGGAUGGGUCAAGGAGAUCGGAUGAGUUAACCAGGUGCAAAGGAGUGGAUGCUUUGAGAUGCAGAGUUUCUUUGUUCAUUGUAUUAUAAGCACCUCAAAACUGAAUAGACCACAACUGGAUGGUUAGACAACCGUGAAAGUCAAUAACAUCACAGAUAUUAAUAGCAUCAUAAAACAUCAUUUCAUGACCCACCCUUCAGGUACUGCAAUAUUGGAAGAAGAAAUAGCCCAAAACUCAGGAGGUUAAGAAGGAACUCACAGACAGGGACGUUCAGGAGGGUUUUGAUAUUACUCUUACAAAACAUAAAGGGUGAUUGACGAGUUUGAUCAAAAUGUACAUUUUGUUGAAACUGAUGUUGAGGAAAAUCCAGAAAUAGCAGAAGCAGCUGGUAUUAUGGGUACACCAUGUGUUCAAUUUUUCAAAAACAAGGAAAAGUUGAGGACCAGGUCAAAAUGAAGAGGGAGUAUCGAGAAUUUAUUGAAGUAAAGAGGAGCUUCAAAGUGGUGAAGUUGUAUAUUUUCUGUUUGGAACGUACAAAUAAUGUUUAUUGGUAGUACUUUGUUUAUUUUGAUUUAAAUGCUAGGUUGGAUGCGGCGUUAGACAAGCUGCAUGGUUUAUUUGGUUAAUAUGCAAUUUUCUUAUU